GAUGAACGCUGGCGGCGUGCCUAAUACAUGCAUGUCGAGCGAAUGGAUUAAGAGCUUGCUCUUAUGAAGUUAGCGGCGGACGGGUGAGUAACACGUGGGUAACCUGCCCAUAAGACUGGGAUAACUCCGGGAAACCGGGGCUAAUACCGGAUAACAUUUUGAACCGCAUGGUGCGAAAUUGACAGGCGGCUUCGGCUGUCACUUAUGGAUGGACCCGCGUCGCAUUAGCUAGUGGGUGAGGUAACGGCUCACCAAGGCAACGAUGCGUAGCCGACCUGAGAGGGUGAUCGGCCACACUGGGACUGAGACACGGCCCAGACUCCUACGGGAGGCAGCAGUAGGGAAUCUUCCGCAAUGGACGAAAGUCUGACGGAGCAACGCCGCGUGAGUGAUGAAGGCUUUCGGGUCGUAAAACUCUGUUGUUAGGGAAGAACAAGUGCUAGUUGUAUAAGCUGGCACCUUGACGGUACCUAACCAGAAAGCCACGGCUAACUACGUGCCAGCAGCCGCGGUAA
rnacentral:rRNA from 1 species